rnacentral:rRNA from 1 species
UAGGGAAUCUUCCGCAAUGGGCGAAAGCCUGACGGAGCAACGCCGCGUGAGUGAAGAAGGUCUUCGGAUCGUAAAACUCUGUUAUUAGGGAAGAACAAAUGUGUAAGUAACUAUGCACGUCUUGACGGUACCUAAUCAGAAAGCCACGGCUAACUACGUGCCAGCAGCCGCGGUAAUACGUAGGUGGCAAGCGUUAUCCGGAAUUAUUGGGCGUAAAGCGCGCGUAGGCGGUUUUUUAAGUCUGAUGUGAAAGCCCACGGCUCAACCGUGGAGGGUCAUUGGAAACUGGAAAACUUGAGUGCAGAAGAGGAAAGUGGAAUUCCAUGUGUAGCGGUGAAAUGCGCAGAGAUAUGGGGGAAAACCAGUGGCGAAGGCGACUUUCUGGUCUGUAACUGACGCUGAUGUGCGAAAGCGUGGGGAUCAAACAGG